GAAGAGAAGAGAAGAGAAAAAGAAAGCUGAAGCAUAUUUCAGACUAAGACAAAGAAGAAGUUGCUGGCACUGCCAAUAAUACAUCUACCUGCUACUCACAGAACAACACAUUCAUAUAUCUUCAGAGUUAAGAGACGGCUUCCAGAAGGCAACUUCGUCUUGUCACGCUGUUUCUGUGGGGCACACGAGACUCACAUAUUUCUGACAGCAUACUCCAGCUGACUACCUGGGGUGCCUGCCUUAGGCUUUCUGACUACUGUAGCAUCCCAAGUCUUCAUUGAUUCCAACUGCUGCUGGCAAACUCUGCACUUCUAUAGUCACCGGAAAGAAGUGGUCACCAUGCCUGAGUGGAGAUCUGACUAAGACCCAACAUUGCAUUUUCUGUUUUCUUUCCUCCAGAAGAAGUAAAAGUGAAUAAUUCUGAAGAACUGAGGAAAAUAAAAAUAUUUUACUGCCUUGGGUCUUGUUUGCCAUGGUUUCCCUAGGAAGAAGACAAGAGAGUCACAGAUAUUUUUUUCCAAUGGGUUUUGUUUGCUUCAAAGAUUGGACUGAGUUCUCUUCUUCCUUCUUAUCGCUGUUGAGGGGCAGGAGAACUAUGAGUGCCUCUUCUCAGUAGCCUAUUUCUGAAAGUAUAUUACGUGCAAGAGCAUUGCUGAAGUAGUUGUUCAUAGCCAUCUUUGCAAGGUUUUAGAAAUGAAAAAAACAGUUCUAAAAGAGAGUUUAUCUGUGCUGGCCUUGUCUCUAAUAAGGCAUCCUCGCACUGUCUCUUAGUGUUCAGUGCUAAGCAUGCUCAGACACUGUGGAUGAUUCUGCACUGGGAGACAGCUUGUUUGCUAGAGGUAACAGCUCUCAGAGGUGGAGCAGGAAAGGUCUUCAAAACCAUGGACAGUUUUUUUAUGAGUGACACAUCUGAAAAAGAAGAACAGCAAAGAAACUGAGAAAAGCUUUGAAAUGUACCUUUGUCAUAGUGAUCUUUAGUGUUGCUAUCAUUAAGUAUGAAGUUGAACAUGUACGUUCUAAGGUUUGGGGAUUUGGGGAGUCACUGUUUCCUUGGGUUUUUUUUAGUUAAGCUUGUUUUUAAUGAUGACUUAAAAGUGUCUUUAAAACAUUAAGGGAAGAAAAAAUAUGAAUGGAAAGUGGUAUUUCCCUUGGGAUUCCAUAUAUCAAUUGGUCUAAAGUCAAAAACGCUGAGAUACAUAAUAAAAUAUAAUAAAAUAACAAAAAGAUACAAAAGAAGUUAUGGAAAUCAAAGAGAAAUCAAGACAUGAACAGAAAAGAUAUAUUAGCAGAUGAUUUAAUGUAAAAGAAACUCUUAGUAAACCAACAAAUCAAAGAGGCUGUUUUGUAACAUUUACCCUUUAACACAGUAUUUAUUUGUGAUAUAUGUCAUGCAGCUUAUUUAAAUGGUCCCUUGAAAUCACAUGUCCUGUUUUAUGAUGUAAAACAUAAAAAAGGAAAUGAAGAGGGAAUGAGAUAUUAGCAUAGCAGUAUGAACUCCAGCUCUGUUUUCACCAUAUUAUGGGAGAAGACACUGCAUCUGAAGCUAAAAAUGCCAUAGAAAGAUGGUGCAAAUUAGUUUUGAAAAAGUAUCAAGAAUAAAGUACUCGUUGUACUAUCUGAGCCCUGGAAAGUGAGUUAAUUAAAGCCAGCAUUGACACAAUGAGGUUAUUUUACCUGGUUGAUAGACGAUAAUGAGUAUCAAAUGUGUUGAAGGAAAUGGAGUCCUGUAUUCAAGUCAAUGAUUAAGGCUAAAUCAACUUUAAUCCCAUACAAAACCUGAUCAGCUUUUAGAACUCAACCUUGAUUACCUUGGCUCAAAUAGGUUAAACAAAAAAGAAAAAAGAAAAAAAAGAAAAACAACACAUCGUAACUGCAGAACUAAUGCACACUGAGCCAUAGAAUUAUUACUUUUUUUUUCCUUUUGGUAUCGAUUAGAAUGGAUGUCAUAUGAGAAAGCAAA